AUUGAACGCUGGCGGCAGGCUUAACACAUGCAAGUCGAGCGGGGAAAGGUAGCUUGCUACCUGACCUAGCGGCGGACGGGUGAGUAAUGCUUAGGAAUCUGCCUAUUAGUGGGGGACAACAUCUCGAAAGGGAUGCUAAUACCGCAUACGUCCUACGGGAGAAAGCAGGGGACCUUCGGGCCUUGCGCUAAUAGAUGAGCCUAAGUCGGAUUAGCUAGUUGGUGGGGUAAAGGCCUACCAAGGCGACGAUCUGUAGCGGGUCUGAGAGGAUGAUCCGCCACACUGGGACUGAGACACGGCCCAGACUCCUACGGGAGGCAGCAGGGGGGAAUAUUGGACAAUGGGGGGAACCCUGAUCCAGCCAUGCCGCGUGUGUGAAGAAGGCCUUUUGGUUGUAAAGCACUUUAAGCGAGGAGGAGGCUACCGAGAUUAAUACUCUUGGAUAGUGGACGUUACUCGCAGAAUAAGCACCGGCUAACUCUGUG
rnacentral:rRNA from 1 species